rnacentral:rRNA from 1 species
GGUGUUUGGCACCUCGAUGUCGGCUCAUCACAUCCUGGGGCUGAAGUAGGUCCCAAGGGUAUGGCUGUUCGCCAUUUAAAGUGGUACGCGAGCUGGGUUUAGAACGUCGUGAGACAGUUCGGUCCCUAUCUGCCGUGGGCGCUGGAGAACUGAGGGGGGCUGCUCCUAGUACGAGAGGACCGGAGUGGACGCAUCACUGGUGUUCGGGUUGUCAUGCCAAUGGCACUGCCCGGUAGCUAAAUGCGGAAGAGAUAAGUGCUGAAAGCAUCUAAGCACGAAACUUGCCCCGAGAUGAGUUCUCCCUGACUCCCUGAGAGUCCUGAAGGAACGUUGAAGACGACGACGUUGAUAGGCCGGGUGUGUAAGCGCAGCGAUGCGUUGAGCUAACCGGUACUAAUGAACCGUGAGG